rnacentral:rRNA from 1 species
UAAGGAAUAUUGGUCAAUGGGCGGAAGCCUGAACCAGCCAUGCCGCGUGCAGGAAGACGGCCCUACGGGUUGUAAACUGCUUUUGUACCGGAAUAAACCCUGAUUCGUGAAUCAGGCUGAAUGUACGGUAAGAAUAAGGAUCGGCUAACUCCGUGCCAGCAGCCGCGGUAAUACGGAGGAUCCAAGCGUUAUCCGGAUUUAUUGGGUUUAAAGGGUGCGUAGGCGGCCUGUUAAGUCAGGGGUGAAAGACGGUAGCUCAACUAUCGCAGUGCCCUUGAUACUGAUGGGCUUGAAUGUACUAGAGGUAGGCGGAAUGUGACAAGUAGCGGUGAAAUGCAUAGAUAUGUCACAGAACACCAAUUGCGAAGGCAGCUUACUAUGGUAUGAUUGACGCUGAGGCACGAAAGCGUGGGGAUCAAACA